rnacentral:rRNA from 1 species
UUUAACAAAAUUCUUGAGUAAAGCGGGACACGUGAAAUCCUGCUCGAAUAUAGGGGGACCACCCUCUAAGCCUAAAUACUCUUCAGUGACCGAUAGUGAACUAGUACCGUGAGGGAAAGGUGAAAAGAACCCCUAUUAGGGGAGUGAAAUAGAACCUGAAACUGCAUGCCUACAAUCAGUCGAAGCUCUUUUUAGAGUGACGGCGUACCUUUUGUAUAAUGGGUCAGUGACUUAAUUUAUUAAGCAAGCUUAAGCCAUCUAGGUGUAGGCGCAGCGAAAGCAAGUCUUAAUAGGGCGAUUAGUUUAAUGAAUUAGACCCGAAAACGAAUGAGCUUACCAUGAGCAGGUUGAAAGUUGGGUAACACCAACCGGAGGACCGAACCAGUUGACGUUGAAAAGUCUUUGGAUGACUUGUGGUAAGGGGUGAAAGGCCAACCAAAUUCGUAGAUAGCUGGUUUUCCGCGAAAACUAUUUAGGUAGUGCGUUGAAUAAAUAGAUGUUUAGAGGUAGAGCACUAAAUGGGCUAGGGGGAAGAGAUUCUUACCAAACCUAAUAAAACUCCGAAUGCUAGACAUUGUUCUUCAACAGACAGACUGUGGGUGCUAAGGUCCAUGGUCGAGAGGGAAAGAGCCCAGACCACCAGAUAAGGUCCCCAAAUUAUGAUUAAGUGUGAAAGGAUGUGGAAAUUCCUUAACAGCCGGGAGGUUGGCUUAGAAGCAGCCAUCCUUUAAAGAUAGCGUAACAGCUCACCGGUCUAAUAGAGUUUCUGCGCCGAAGAUGUAACGGGGCUAAAAUCAUAUACCGAAUCUGUGGGUUUAUAAAACUUUCGAGUUUUAUAAGCGGUAGCGGAACGUUCUGUAAGCCUGUGAAGGGAUACCCGUGAGGGAUCCUGGAGGUAUCAGAAGUGCGAAUGCUGACAUAAGUAACGAUAAAAGAAGUGAAAAACUUCUUCGCCGAAAAUCCAAGGGUUUCUGCGCAAGGUUAAUCCGCGCAGAGUUAGUCGGCACCUAAGGCGAGGGCGAAAGCCGUAGUCGAUGGAAAUAAGGUUAAUAUUCCUUAACCAGAUGGUAGUGACGGAUCUUGUAAGUUGUGUACUCUUAAUGGAUUGAGUAUGCCGCGAAAAGGUUCCAAGAAAUAGCUCCAUCAUUAGACCGUACCCUAAACCGACACAGGUGGAUUAAUAGAGUAUAUUUAGGCGCUUGAGAGAAUGAUGUUGAAGGAACUCGGCAAAAUGCUUCCGUAACUUCGGGAUAAGGAAGACCUGUUUUUAGGCAACUAGAGAUGGGUGGCACAAGCCAGGGAGAAGCGACUGUUUAUCAAAAACACAGGGCUCUGCUAACACGUAAGUGGAUGUAUAGGGUCUGACGCCUGCCCGGUGCUGGAAGGUUAAUGCGAUCAGUGCAAGCUGAUUUCUGAAGCCCCAGUGAACGGCGGCCGUAACUAUAACGGUCCUAAGGUAGCGAAAUUCCUUGUCGGGUAAGUUCCGACCUGCAUGAAUGGCGUAACGAUUUCUCCGCUGUCUCCAACAUCAACUCAGUGAAAUUGAAUUCUCCGUGAAGAUGCGGAGUUCGCGUAGUUAGACGGAAAGACCCCGUGCACCUUUACUGCAACUUUACAUUGGUAUUAGGAAAAACAUAUUUAGUAUAGGAGGGAGACAUUGAAGCAAAGGCGUCAGCUUUUGUGGAGUCACCAGUGAAAUACCUCUUUUGUUUUUCUUGAUAUCUAACUGAUUGCCGUCAUCCGGCAUCAAGACAUUGUAUGGUGGGUAGUUUGACUGGGGCGGUCGCCUCCCAAAUAGUAACGGAGGCGUGCGAAGGUAGGCUCAGAACGGUCAGAAAUCGUUCGUAGAGUGCAAUGGCAUAAGCCUGCCUGACUGUGAGACUGACAAGUCGAGCAGAGACGAAAGUCGGUCAUAGUGAUCCGGUGGUUCUGAGUGGAAGGGCCAUCGCUCAACGGAUAAAAGGUACGCCGGGGAUAACAGGCUGA